rnacentral:rRNA from 1 species
GUGGGGAAUAUUGGACAAUGGGGGGAACCCUGAUCCAGCCAUGCCGCGUGUGUGAAGAAGGCCUUUUGGUUGUAAAGCACUUUAAGCGAGGAGGAGGCUACCGAGAUUAAUACUCUUGGAUAGUGGACGUUACUCGCAGAAUAAGCACCGGCUAACUCUGUGCCAGCAGCCGCGGUAAUACAGAGGGUGCAAGCGUUAAUCGGAUUUACUGGGCGUAAAGCGCGCGUAGGUGGCCAAUUAAGUCAAAUGUGAAAUCCCCGAGCUUAACUUGGGAAUUGCAGUCGAUACUGGUUGGCUAGAGUAUGGGAGAGGAUGGUAGAAUUCCAGGUGUAGCGGUGAAAUGCGUAGAGAUCUGGAGGAAUACCGAUGGCGAAGGCAGCCAUCUGGCCUAAUACUGACACUGAGGUGCGAAAGCAUGGGGAGCAAACAGGAUUAGAUACCCGGUAGUCC